ensembl:rRNA 5S_rRNA 5S ribosomal RNA
GUCUACGGCCACACCACCCUGAAUGCGCCCCAUCUUGUCUGAUCCUGGAAGCCAAGCAGGGUCGGGCCUGGUUAGUACCUGGAUAGGAGAAAGAUGUCACAAGCA